UACGAAGGGGGCUAGCGUUGUUCGGAAUUACUGGGCGUAAAGCGCACGUAGGCGGAUAUUUAAGUCGGGGGGUGAAAUCCCGGGGCUCAACCCCGGAACUGCCUUCGAUACUGGGUAUCUUGAGUUCGGAAGAGGUGAGUGGAAUUGCGAGUGUAGAGGUGAAAUUCGUAGAUAUUCGCAGGAACACCAGUGGCGAAGGCGGCUCACUGGUCCGAUACUGACGCUGAGGUGCGAAAGCGUGGGGAGCAAACAGGG
rnacentral:rRNA from 1 species